UUGCACCAGUGCGUGAUGGUGUAGAAUAUUUGCUCCAAAUAUCGCAAUGAAUUAACUCAAAAGCAAUUGUACUUUUAUUAUUGCUGAUAGGAAAAAAGACUUCUAGCUUAUUUAGUUUAACACUACAGGAUAAGGACUAUUUUAUUUGUCAAAAAUUGAAAUAAAAAUCAUCAUGAAGUAAUCCUUUCAAACAAUGAACGGAGGGAUGCCCAAGACAAUUGUGCUGGAGAUCCAAAGCAGAGGAGGAUUGGUUGCAAGAAAAAAGGCUUGCUGGUGCAUCCUGCCACUGCCCAUCUUUUUCCUCACCUAUCCAAAUCAUUUUCUUCGUAAAGGCCUGAAACGCACAAAAAUCAGGGAAGGAAUAUGAGAUCAGGAUUAUGUAUUUUAGUUAGCUUACUAAUGGACAACAAGUUAAGACUGAAAGAAGUCAUGCAAAGAACUUUAGAAAGCUAGAUUAAAGAUGAAAGUUCAGAGCUUCCUAUAUGUGAAACUUGCAUGCUAACACCAUUUGGUUAGUGCAAAAGUUGAUUCAUAGGUAGU
rnacentral:lncRNA from 1 species